GAUGAACGCUGGCGGCGUGCCUAAUACAUGCAAGUCGAGCGAACAGACGAGGAGCUUGCUCCUCUGACGUUAGCGGCGGACGGGUGAGUAACACGUGGAUAACCUACCUAUAAGACUGGGAUAACUUCGGGAAACCGGAGCUAAUACCGGAUAAUAUAUUGAACCGCAUGUUUCAAUAGUGAAAGACGGUUUUGCUGUCACUUAUAGAUGGAUCCGCGCCGCAUUAGCUAGUUGGUAAGGUAACGGCUUACCAAGGCAACGAUGCGUAGCCGACCUGAGAGGGUGAUCGGCCACACUGGAACGGAGACACGGUCAAGACUCCUACGGGAGGCAGCAGUAGGGAAUCUUCCGCAAAGGGCGAAAGCCUGACGGAGCAACGCCGCGUGAGUGAUGAAGGUCUUCGGAUCGUAAAACUCUGUUAUUAGGGAAGAACAAAUGUGUAAGUAACUAUGCACGUCUUGACGGUACCUAAUCAGAAAGCCACGGCUAACUACGUG
rnacentral:rRNA from 1 species